rnacentral:lncRNA from 1 species
UCUGCACCACCUCGUCACUUGAAGUGACGAGCCAAAGAGGCCAAAAAAUUUCGCUCAGCCCCUCGUCAUUCCAUUUGCCGAGCGCAUAUUGCAAAAAAGCUAUUACCACCCCCUCGUCACUUGGAGUGACGAGGCCAAACUUAAAAAGGGGGUACUCUGGGAAUAUUUUUUCAAAAUGGGGUAUAGUGGGAAAAAAAUUUCAAAAUGGGGGCAAGGCAGGAAAAUUCUCCC